GGAUCAUUGAUGACCAUAAAAGAUGUGGGAGUCGUCUGAAACAUGCAUGAUGACCACAACAUUGCGAGUCUGAGGUCCAC
rnacentral:snoRNA from 14 species